rnacentral:rRNA from 1 species
UACGAGGGGUGCAAGCGUUGCUCGGAAUUAUUGGGCGUAAAGGGUAGGUAGGUGGUCUCAUUUGUCUGGGGUGAAAGCCUUGAGCUUAACUCAAGAAGUGCCCCGGAAACGGUGAGACUGGAGUCCUGGAGAGGGUCGUGGAAUUCCCGGUGUAGCGGUGAAAUGCGUAGAUAUCAGGAGGAACACCAGCGGUGUAGACGGCUUUCUGGACCAUUGCUGACGCUGAGACACGAAAGCGUGGGUAGCAAACAGG